UGAGUCGGCCGGGCGGCCGCGGCGGUUCCGCCCGUCGAGGAAAGUCCGGACUCCGCAGGGCAGGGUGGUUGCUAACGGCAACCCGGGGAAACCCGCGGGAAAGUGCCACAGAAAGCAGACCGCCCGGCGGGUUCGCCCGCCGGGUAAGGGUGAAACGGUGGUGUAAGAGACCACCAGCGCCCCGGGUGACCGGGGCGGCUCGGCAAACCCCACCCGGAGCAAGGUCAAGAGGGCGCUGCGCGCGCCUGCGCGGACGUUCGAGGGUUGCCCGCCCGAGGUCCGCGGGUAGACCGCACGAACCUGUCGGCAACGGCAGGUCGAGAUGGAUGGCCGCCGAACGGGUCGCUGCGAAGCACCCGGGAACAGAAUCCGGCUUACAGGCCGACUCAUCCG
rnacentral:RNase_P_RNA from 1 species